GUUUGCAGUGAUAAGUUCAAUUUUCUUUAUAAAAGCGUAAGGAUUGUUUUUGCAUUCAACUGGGACAAAGGCAUAGGAAAAGAUCUGAAUGUCGCAACCUUGCAAGAUUUUCAUAAGAAACCUUCAACACGGUUCUUGGAAAAAAUCAACAAAAGCUAAAACAUCGCAUUUAAAGAAAUUGAAGUAUACGAUCCAUUACUUCCAAGAAAUGACUUACUGGUUUUACUAGUGGCAAUAUCAAUUAAAGAAAAUCAGUUGAAACAAUCUCUUUUCAAGUAGUGCAACGACAAAUGUCCUGUGAAAGUUGUAUUAAGUAACUGAUUGAGUAUCUUACCGGU